CAGGCUACCCCGACCUUCAACAAGGUUCAUGGUGUAAAACAACAACCCUUGCUAAACCUUAUGGUCCCUAAUCUUAGAAUUAACAUAUUUGGCUCCAACUAUUUAGGUUCCACACUUUGCUAUUCUUACGUACACAGUUUCGUUAUAAAUUUAGAAUCAUUGGAAUGACUCACUUAUGCAAAUUCCUCUUGUUUUCACAUUUAUAACACUUUGUGUUUCUCAGACUUGACAUGCCC
rnacentral:lncRNA from 1 species